rnacentral:rRNA from 1 species
GUUAAAGCUCGUAGUUGAACCUUGGGCCUGGCUGGCCGGUCCGCCUCACCGCGUGCACUGGUCCGGCCGGGCCUUUCCUUCUGGGGAGCCGCAUGCCCUUCACUGGGUGUGUCGGGGAACCAGGACUUUUACUUUGAAAAAAUUAGAGUGUUCAAAGCAGGCCUAUGCUCGAAUACAUUAGCAUGGAAUAAUAGAAUAGGACGUGUGGUUCUAUUUUGUUGGUUUCUAGGACCGCCGUAAUGAUUAAUAGGGAUAGUCGGGGGCAUCAGUAUUCAAUUGUCAGAGGUGAAAUUCUUGGAUUUAUUGAAGACUAACUACUGCGAAAGCAUUUGCCAAGGAUGUUUUCAUUAAUCAGUGAACGAAAGUUAGGGGAUCGAAGACGAUCAGAUACCGUCGUAGUCUUAACCAUAAACUAUGCCGACUAGGGAUCGGGCGAUGUUAUUUUUUGACUCGCUCGGCACCUUACGAGAAAUCAAAGUUUUUGGGUUCUGGGGGGAGUAUGGUCGCAAGGCUGAAACUUAAAGAAAUUGACGGAAGGGCACCACCAGGAGUGGAGCCUGCGGCUUAAUUUGACUCAACACGGGGAAACUCACCAGGUCCAGACACNAUAAGGAUUGACAGAUUGAGAGCUCUUUCUUGAUUUUGUGGGUGGUGGUGCAUGGCCGUUCUUAGUUGGUGGGAGUGAUUUGUCUGCUUAAUUGCGAUAACGAACGAGACCUUAACCUGCUAAAUAACCCAGGCUAGCUUUUGGCUGGUCGCCGGCUUCUUAGANGGNACUAUCGGCUCNAGCCGAUGGAAGUUUUGA